CUGUGGGGUAUAUUUUGAGGAAUAUAUAUAUAGAGAGAGAGGGAGGCUUUGGGGUGUUUUAUGAGGGAAAUAUAGAGAGAGAGAUUGGCUUUGGGGUGUCUUCUGAUAUAUAUAUGAGAGAGAGGCUGUGGGGUGCCUUUUGAGGAAUAGAGAGAGAAGCUUUGGGGUGUCUCCUGAAUGGAAUAUAUAUAGAGAGAGAGGCUUUGGGGUUUCUUCUGAGGGAAAUUUAUAGAGGGGGUGAGAGAGGCUUUUGGGUGUAUAACAUAAAGGCUUUGGGGUGUUUUCUGAGGAAAAUAAUAGAGAGAGGCUUUGGAGUUUCUUCUGAGGGAAAUUUAUAGAGGCGGUGAGAGAGGCUUUUGGGUGUAUAACAUAAAGGCUUUGGGGUGUUUUCUGAGGAAAAUAAUAGAGAGAGGCUUUGGGGUUUCUUCUGAGGGAAAUUUAUAGAGGGGGUGAGAGAGGCUUUUGGGUGUAUAACAUAAAGGCUUUGGGGUGUUUUCUGAGGAAAAUAAUAGAGAGAGGCUUUGGGGUCUCUUCUGAGGGGAAGGACUCUAUCGCAUAGAGCAGUGAUUUUCAACCUUCCUAAUGCUGUUACUCCUUAAUACUUCUCAUGUUGUGGUGACCCCCAACCAUAAAAUUAUUUUUGUUGUUGCUUCAUAUAGAGGUAGGCUUUCUGAGAGAGGCUUUGGGGUGUCAUCUGAGGGAAAUAUAUAUAGAGAGAGAUCCUUUGUGGUGUCUUCCGAGGGAAAUGAUGUGAGAAGACCCAACCGCCCUCGAAAAAGAGCUUUCCCAUUCAAAGGCUGUGUACCUGGCUGACCAAAAGUUAUUGCGGGGCGGGGAAGGGCUCUAUAACUCGGACCCUCCUCCUACCACGUGACGAGGAGCCACUCUGGCCCCCCUCCCUCGCUUCCCAGCUUUUUGUUAAAGAGGUUGUGAGGCGUCGCCUGAGGAGAGCUUUUUCAGCCUCUUUUUAUGCUAGGGGUUUGCUUCGUCUCUUUUACAUUCCUAGAAGAAGAAGCCGAGAAGUUGGGUUAGUCAAGGGAAAGAAGGUAUGCUUUCCAUUGCUAACCCUACCAUCUGUCUUAGAAGCCAUCCUUCCCAGUGUGAAGCCGAGUUCUCCCCUCGCGGUUGCUUUUAUGGCGCUUCGCCCCGCCCCUCUUCCUUGCCACGCCCCUUUUUCCCUCAGCCUUUUCCCCCCCAGGCAUUUCCUGCAGCCUCGCGCUAGUGGUUAACCCUUGAAGGGCUGCACCGGGCAGAGCAACGCCCCUCUCUCUCUCUCUCUCUCUCUCGCUCUCUCUCUCGCUCGCUCGCUCGCUCGCUUCAUCUGUCUUUUCUGCUGCUGCUGCUGUUGCCGAGCGGACUUUAUUGGGUCUAAACGGGUCUCAUUAGCAAGCACUUAAAGGGAUCAAUAGCAGCCAGCGGAAAGCCUGGGGACCAUUCCUUCUUCGAUGGAUUUCCUGAGACUUUUAUUUCCUGCUCUCUUUCGCCCCGAAGAUGGCUUAAUUGGCGGAAGCAGAUGGCGGCGCGCGGAACGAGGCUCUUAUCAGUUAUGGCGGGAUGAGUCCGCUUCCAUUGCUAUGGGCCCCCCUGUGGGGAUCCUCUGUUCUAGAUAUUAGGAACCUUCUCAAGCCUCCUCUAUCUAACGUUUUGUGUGUUUAUAAUGUGUCGUUUAUUUCCUGAAGUGUAUGUCAUUUUUGGUGUGCAAGUUUUUUUUAGCUCUAGGUACUGGAUGCAGUGGCUGCAGACCAUGUGACUGGUUCAGUAACUGUUUAGAAUGCAAUUUAAAAGGAUGACAGUUGAGGAAUGACAGUUGAGGCUUGAGUCUGUUUAAGGACAGAAGCCAGUGUAGGAAGUUAGAAGUCAGUUGAGGCUUGAGUUCCUUGAAAAUACACUGUUAUAAAAGAGAGCUGUGGUGUUUUGAACUAUGGUGUUGGGGAAAAAUUCUGAGAGUGCCUUGGACUGCAAGAAGAUCCAACCAGUCCACACUCCAGGAAAUAUUGCCCAGCUGUUCACUGGAAGGAAGGAUAUUAGAGGCAAAGAUGAAGUCCUUUGGCCACAUCAUGAGAAGACAGGAAAGCUUGGAGAAGAUAACGAUACUGGGGAAAAUGGAAGGAAAACGGAAGAAGGGCCAACCAAGGACAAGAUGGAUGGAUGUAUCCUUGAAGGGACUGGCUUGACCUUGAAGAAGUGACUCAAGAACACACUGCAAGUUGCUUCUGGUGUGAGAGAAUUGACUGUCUACAGAGAUAUUGCCCAGGGGAUGCCCGGAUGUGUUACCAUCCUGCUGGUAAAAGCUAGAGCUAACAGACAGGAGUUCACCCCAUCUCGCGGAUUCAAACCAGCAACCUUCAGGUUAGCAACCCAACUUUUAUGUCUGCAGUCCAGCCAGCACAAGGGUUUAACCCAGUGGUUCUCAACCUGAAGUCCCCAGGUGUUUUGGCCUAUAACUUCCAGAAAUCCCAGCCAGUUUACCAGCUGUUAGGAUUUCUGGGAAUUGAAGGCCAUAAACAUCUGGGGACGGGGAUGCCAGGUUAAGAACCAUUGGUUUAACCCAUUAUGCCACUGCGGCUCCUUUGUAGUUGCGUGAAGGACCAGCACUUUGUCAGAGAAGGCUAAACACCUUGUAAAACAAUUUUGUUUCAAUUAAUUACUUGUAAGUUCCCAAUCCAUGCAAACUUCCCUGAAAAGGACUGGCACUAGGUGAAAUGUAUAUUGCUGUAUUUGUGUGUAUUUGUGUAUGUUUUCAAGCUGGCUGUUGAUUUAUAGCCACCAUCAUGGGGUUUUCUAAGGCAAGAAGACUCCAGAGGUGGUUUUGUCAGUUUCUUCCUCUGAAAUACAGCCUGCUACAGUUAUUCCUUGUCGGUCUUCCAUCCAAGCAUAAACCACAAUGAUAAAAUAAAAAGAGGCAGACUUUAUUUUGGCAGAA